rnacentral:rRNA from 1 species
CCCACACUGGUACUGAGACACGGACCAGACUCCUACGGGAGGCAGCAGUGAGGAAUAUUGGUCAAUGGGUGAGAGCCUGAACCAGCCAUGCCGCGUGAAGGAAGACUGCCCUAUGGGUUGUAAACUUCUUUUCUGCAGGAAGAAACCACUCUACGUGUAGGGUGUUGCCGGUACUGCAGGAAUAAGCAUCGGCUAACUCCGUGCCAGCAGCCGCGGUAAUACGGAGGAUGCAAGCGUUAUCCGGAUUUAUUGGGUUUAAAGGGUGCGUAAGGCGGGCUUGUAAGUCAGUGGUGAAAUGCUGUGGCUUAACCAUAGAAUUGCCAUUGAAACUGCAAAGUCUUGAGUACAGUUGAAGGUGGGCGGAAUGAGUAAUGUAGCGGUGAAAUGCAUAGAUAUUACUCAGAACUCCGAUUGCGUAAGCAGCUUGCUAAACUGUAACUGACGCUAGAUGCACGAAAGCGUGGGGAGCGAACAGGAUUAAGAUACCCUGGUAGUCCACGCUGUAAACGAUGAGCACUGGUUGUUGGCAAUACACCGUCAGGGAAUUGAGCGAAAGUAUUAAGUUGCUCCACCUGGGGAGUACGUCGGCAACGAUGGAAACUCUAAGGAAUUGACGGGGGCCCGCACAAGCGGAGGAACAUGUGGUUUAAUUCGAUGAUACGCGAGGAACCUUUACCUGGGCUUAAAUGUAGGAGUGCAUUGCUUGGAAACAGGCAUUU